ensembl:snRNA U6 U6 spliceosomal RNA
AAAAGUGUCCUUUAUCUUCUUUAUGCUCACAUUGGAGCAAUCCAGGGAAGAUUAGCAAGGUCCCUGCACAAGGAUGACACACAAAUUCAUGAAGCAUUCCACAGUUGU